GCGAAGAACCUUACCUGGUCUUGACAUCCACAGAACUUUUCAGAGAUAAGAAUGUGCCUUCGGGAACCGUGAGACAGGUGCUGCAUGGCUGUCGUCAGCUCGUGUUGUGAAAUGUUGGGUUAAGUCCCGCAACGAGCGCAACCCUUAUCCUUUGUUGCCAGCGGUCCGGCCGGGAACUCAAAGGAGACUGCCAGUGAUAAACUGGAGGAAGGUGGGGAUGACGUCAAGUCAUCAUGGCCCUUACGACCAGGGCUACACACGUGCUACAAUGGCGCAUACAAAGAGAAGCGACCUCGCGAGAGCAAGCGGACCUCAUAAAGUGCGUCGUAGUCCGGAUUGGAGUCUGCAACUCGACUCCAUGAAGUCGGAAUCGCUAGUAAUCGUGGAUCAGAAUGCCACGGUGAAUACGUUCCCGGGCCUUGUACACACC
rnacentral:rRNA from 1 species